GCCCUUAUAGUUUAAUGGAUAAAACAGCUGCCUCCUAAGCGGCAAAUCCAGGUCCGAUUCCCGGUAAGGGCA
rnacentral:tRNA from 1 species